ACCAGUUCUGCCCUUGGGACAGACAUAAAACAAACUACAUCUUUCCCCCUCUCCCUUCCCCAUGGUGCUACCGUCAAGUUUUUUCAAGAAGUCAUUUCAUGUCUGUUCUAAGAAGAGGAUAUUCAGUGAUAGUGAUGAAUUUCACAACGGUUAGUCCAGCUUCUAAUGAGCGAAGAUGAUAUUGGCCUGCCAAUACUGCAUUACUGAAGCAGAAAAAGAUGGUCUUGAUGUGCUGACUUCAACUUUUUCUGUUCUAGAGAUAAGGAAAUGCAUCACUGUACAAC